GAACCGGCAUUCCCUAGUACGGCGAGUGAAGCGGGAAGAGCUCAAAUUUGAAAUCUGGUGGCCUCAGGUCAUCCGAGUUGUAAUCUAUAGAAGUGUUUUCCGUGCUGGCUCAUGUACAAGUCCCUUGGAACAGGGCGUCAUAGAGGGUGAGAAUCCCGUCCUUGACAUGAACUACCAGUGCUCUGUGAUACAUUUUCAACGAGUCGAGUUGUUUGGGAAUGCAGCUCAAAAUGGGUGGUAAAUUCCAUCUAAAGCUAAAUAUUGGCGAGAGACCGAUAGCGAACAAGUACCGUGAGGGAAAGAUGAAAAGCACUUUGGAAAGAGAGUUAAACAGUAUGUGAAAUUGUUGAAAGGGAAACGAUUGAAGUCAGUCGUGCUCUUUGGAUUCAGCCGGUUCUGCCGGUGUACUUCCUUUGAGUGGGGUCAACAUCAGUUUUGAUCGCUGGAUAAAGGCUGGAGGAACGUAGUACCCUCGGGUAAACUUAUAGCCUCCUGUCACAUACAGUGGUUGGGACUGAGGAACGCAGCACGCCUUUAUGGCCGGGAUUCGUCCACGUACGUGCUUAGGAUGUUGACAUAAUGGCUUUAAACGACCCGUCUUGAACACACGGAACAC
rnacentral:rRNA from 1 species